rnacentral:lncRNA from 1 species
CCUACACCAACGACAGUCCAUGGUUUUUUUCAAAGACGGAGGUGGUUCAUUGAGGUUUGAGGUCAAGUUUGGAACUGAGCAAUAAACUCUUUUAAAAGCUGCCAUUUGAAGUGAAAGUAAACUAUGUGUGGUUGCUCGUUUUGGCCUGAAAAUACAAAACACGUUGAAUUCUUAAUUGAGUAAAUCUUAAUGAAGGGUAAUUUUCUGGGUUAAAGGAAUGCGCAGCCGCAUCUAAUAAAGUCCUUGUUUGGCGCGCGACAGGGAGGAUUGAUGAAUUGAAAUAAACUCUGGUGCACGCUGCAGCUGCCGACAGAUGUUGCACUGAGCAAAAAAAAAGCAGUAACUCUCUUUUUCAUCGAAUUCAUUUUCUACAUUCUUACCAUACGUCUCAACUGCGGCUACCCCCUGCUGUGACGGGUCAAAUACCAGCCAGGGAAGGUCAAAAGGAUCUCCUACCUGCCCCGUGACUGCCUCUCUAAUUGCUCCCUUUUCUCUCCUUCACAGGUUCGACCGAAGGCCGGGGUCAACGGAACCAGGGACUCGCCCACCCCAUCCUCGUAAUGUUCACUGUUUGUCCAAGUCAUGAUCUGAGCACGUGGACAUGAUCCCAGGCUCCCUUUGGAUCUCUACGUCAUCAUCGCCGGUGUUGGGGCAUUUGGAAAUAAUCACCUCAGACGGUUUGUUGUGGCUCUUCUGUUAUGGAGACAGACGCACGCGGUGAGAUCUAAUGUGCUUGACUAUUGCAGCUCUGUUGAAAGUGAGAGUUUGGAACCAACUCCCAGCAAUCACAGAAUCAUUACAGAAUUUAUGCUUCCCAGCCCAGAUCAGCCCAAGAUCCAGUGUGUGCAUGUGAGACAGAUGCGGAGGUCUGUGUGUAUUUCCGGUCAUUUUCUCACGCCAUGUUUUUAUAUUAAACUGUGAACAUUAAUUAUAUUCCUCAUGUUUUCUUCCGGCGUCCACAGAAAUCUCGAAGCAACUCUGGCUCCACCUGGAGGCCGGUCAUAUUACUGCAAUUGUUCUGGGUCCGAGACACCAUGACAAGGGGUAAACUGGACAAAAAAAACACCUCUGCACAAGACACAAUACAGCAACAUUCAGUUGCUGCAUCGGUUUGAGGAAG